rnacentral:rRNA from 1 species
GAGUGAACGCUGGCGGUAGGCCUACCACAUGCAAGUCGAACGGCAGCACAGUAAGAGCUUGCUCUUACGGGUGGCGAGUGGCGGACGGGUGAGGAAUACAUCGGAAUCUACUUUUUCGUGGGGGAUAACGUAGGGAAACUUACGCUAAUACCGCAUACGACCUACGGGUGAAAGCAGGGGAUCUUCGGACCUUGCGCGAUUGAAUGAGCCGAUGUCGGAUUAGCUAGUUGGCGGGGUAAAGGCCCACCAAGGCGACGACCCGUAGCUGGUCUGAGAGGAUGAUCAGCCACACUGGAACUGAGACACGGUCCAGACUCCUACGGGAGGCAGCAGUGGGGAAUAUUGGACAAUGGGCGCAAGCCUGAUCCAGCCAUACCGCGUGGGUGAAGAAGGCCUUCGGGUUGUAAAGCCCUUUUGUUGGGAAAGAAAAGCAGCAGGUUAAUACCCCGCUGUUCUGACGGUACCCAAAGAAUAAGCACCGGCUAACUUCGUG